rnacentral:rRNA from 1 species
CCUACGGGAGGCAGCAGUGAGGAAUUUUCCGCAAUGGGCGAAAGCCUGACGGAGCAAUGCCGCGUGGAGGAGGAAGGCCUGUGGGUCGUAAACUCCUUUUCUCAGAGAAGAAGUUCUGACGGUAUCUGAGGAAUAAGCAUCGGCUAACUCUGUGCCAGCAGCCGCGGUAAUACAGGGGAUGCAAGCGUUAUCCGGAAUUAUUGGGCGUAAAGCGUCCUGAGGUGGCUUACCCAGUCGACUGUGAAAGCUCAAGGCUUAACCUUGAAACGGCAGUCGAAACUUGUAAGCUUGAGUACGGUAGGGGCAGAGGGAAUUCCCGGAGGAGAGGUGAAAUUCGUAGAUAUCGGGAGGAAGGCCAAAGGCGAAAGCACUCUGCUGGGCCGAUUACUGACACUGACAGACGAAAGCUAGGGGAGCGAAAGGGAUUAGAUACCCUGUAGUCCUAGCCGUAAACGAUAGGAUACUAAGUGUUGCGCGACUCAAACGUGCAGUGCUGCAGCUAACGCGGUAAGUAUCCCGCCUGGGGAGUAUGCCGCAAGGGUGAAACUCAAAUGAAUUGACGG